rnacentral:rRNA from 1 species
UACGUAGGGGGCAAGCGUUGUCCGGAAUUAUUGGGCGUAAAGAGCGUGUAGGCGGCCAGAUAGGUCCGUUGUGAAAACUGGAGGCUUAACCUCCAGCGGUCGAUGGAAACCAUUUGGCUAGAGUCCGGAAGAGGAGAGUGGAAUUCCUGGUGUAGCGGUGAAAUGCGCAGAUAUCAGGAGGAACACCAAUGGCGAAGGCAGCUCGCUGGGACGUGACUGACGCUGAGACGCGAAAGCGUGGGGGAGCAAACAGG